UUUGUCUUAGUUGUGCGGCACUUAAUACGGCAAAUUCGAAAAAAAAUGGUAAAAAUUGGCGGAAUUUCGAUGCUCCUGACGACACAAGCCCUCUCACCGCCAAGACUUCUAAGGGCACUCGCUUACCACCAGACAAAUGCGAUGAAACACCCACAUCGACGUCAGCCGCCAAGAAAAUUGUUGCUGAUUCUCCCGACACCCCAGUUGUGCAAACAAAAAAGAAGAGCAAAAAAG